rnacentral:ribozyme from 12 species
GAAAGAGAGAGAGGAAGAUAAAGAGAGAGAGGGAAAAAAGGGGGAGCAAGAUGCGAUGAUCUCAAACGUUUGCAGCCCUGUUUCUUCUAAUAUAGAUUUUUCUUCUCCUUCUUCUUUUUCUCUUUCUCCU